AUGUUUUCAAGGUCUUCCUUUACUUAUGCUGCCUUGGUUUGUGUUUAUUUGUCUAAAACCUCCAUGUAUUCCCAAGGGUACUAUUAUGUGUGUUUGCAUCACCAUGUGUUGGACCAUGUACCUGCAAGUUAUAAGAAUACAAUCAACACAAAAGCGAGCGAGCAGCCCUACUGUUAUAUGAUCACAAGCCAAGAAAUCAUAAGUCACAAGGUAUACAAGAGUAAACCCAAUUCAGUUUGA